rnacentral:rRNA from 1 species
CGACGAGUGGCGGACGGGUGAGUAACGCGUAGGAAUCUGCCUAGUAGUGGGGGACAACCUGGGGAAACCCAGGCUAAUACCGCAUACGCCCUAAGGGGGAAAGCGGGGGAUCUUCGGACCUCGCGCUAUUAGAUGAGCCUGCGUCGGAUUAGCUAGUUGGUGGGGUAAAGGCCUACCAAGGCGACGAUCCGUAGCUGGUCUGAGAGGAUGAUCAGCCACACCGGGACUGAGACACGGCCCGG